UUUUCAGCACAAUUCCUUGCUUUAAAGCAAUGGAAGUAUUCUGAAAUGCCCGUUUCUAAAGUCCUGUCUCCCUUUUGAAAUAUGUUUGGUGAUGUUGACGUGUGUGCAUUUAAAAGGAAAAGUACUGGUAAAAAUCAAACAGAGGUUUCUGCCUUUCCCUUUACUGAAAACCCAGGCUGUGUUCCUUCUAUUAGUUUCCUGAAGGUCUAUAGCUACCUAUUACCUUGGACUGCAGUGGCUUCAGUGGAGUUUUAUGAACCUUUCACCCUGUUGCUAUAAAAACCUUCCAUGUUUCUGCCAAACCUCCCUCAGAAAGAUUACUUUAGCUUUGAAGAUGCCAAUAAAGGAAAUUACUUUCAAAAGGAAAGAGCUAGGAAGACAACCCGAGACCCUUCAUUUGGAUUUCCUCCAAUCUCAAAUGUAUUGGAACUGAAGAGCAAUCCCAAAUAUAUUGUAAACUGCGCCGUGGUCCGAGCAGCGAGGUCUCUCUGGGCAGUACUUGGUUGUGUUUUGGUGCCUCCUGCCCCUUUGUCAGCUUUAGAGCAAAAGCUUCAGAGAGAAAAAAACCAAACCCCUCAUGGCCCAGCCUCCGUUGGUCAGCCGCUCACAGCUGGUGAAUAGCAGACCUGGAUCCCUUCCCCUUCCAUUUUACCCAAAUCCCUUUGUACAAUCUUCUUAAGAGCAGCACAUGCUGCAGGACCACCUGGAGGAUGCUGUGUCGUGGCAUAAACAUGAAAAGAUGUGGCAGAGCAGGGCUGUCAUCUUUGUCCACAGGGACAAACUGGAGCCUGAUGUAAACCGAGAAGGAACCAGCUUUGGAAGUUAGUCAGAGUUCUGUCAUUAGCCCAGCCAAGGUGAGAAAUGAGGCCAUGGAAGUUCGGGACUGGAAUUGUUCUUACUUUCCUGUUAUGAAUGGGAAGGUGCAGAAAGGGUAAAACUCCAUAAAGAAAGAAUUACACAGCAAAGGAAUGAAGCAGUCGGCUCUGAAAUCACAAGGUGCCUGCACAGCACCAGCUCUUGAGGAGCCCCAGGGAUCCAUCGACCUGAGUCUGAGUGUCUGUCUGUCUGCUGCCGGCCAAGACUCUCCAGCAGUCUCCAAUCCCACGAGUCAACAUCCAUAACCCUGCAGCACCAUCAAGGAGAUUAUUCAGGUAACAUUCUUCAGUGUCUGCAGGAGCCAGCUAUAGCAUGCUUCAGACAGCUGAAGUUUCACUUCAACUGCCUUAAAUCAGGGUGUUCAGUUUGGUUUCAAGGACGUUUAACUCAACUCAUGUCAGGACUUUAAACAGCACUAGGAAAGUACGGUUGGUUACCCAAGAUUCGUAAGAACUAGCUCAAAAUUCAGUUGCCACAUUGGGGUAUGUAACCUUUUGCAAUACCUUUCAUUUGUUUUUGAGAUAUCUCGUUACAUAUACUGUCAGCUCUGACUCAUCUGCAUAGCAAAGACAAGGAGGCUUUCCUGUCAACACCCCUGUGAUGCCUCAUGAGAUUCUGAAGCAGGAUGGUCCACUGAGAAACUCCAUUUGAAGCAGGUGGAUGUGCAGUUGCUUUUCAUAUCCCAAAUUUCAUCAUAAAAAACUUUGUUUCCUGGUGUGAGGAGGAGCCUGUUACCAAAAAAGUGUGAGAGAGACAGAACAGGAAAACAGACAGUAAUAAGUAAAUGGUGUUUGAAGUGUGA